GAGUAACGCGUGAGGAACCUGCCUCAAAGAGGGGGACAACAGUUGGAAACGACUGCUAAUACCGCAUAAGCCCACGACCCGGCAUCGGGUAGAGGGAAAAGGAGCAAUCCGCUUUGAGAUGGCCUCGCGUCCGAUUAGCUAGUUGGUGAGGUAACGGCCCACCAAGGCGACGAUCGGUAGCCGGACUGAGAGGUUGAACGGCCACAUUGGGACUGAGACACGGCCCAGACUCCUACGGGAGGCAGCAGUGGGGAAUAUUGCACAAUGGGGGAAACCCUGAUGCAGCGACGCCGCGUGGAGGAAGAAGGUCUUCGGAUUGUAAACUCCUGUUGUUGAGGAAGAUAAUGACGGUACUCAACAAGGAAGUGACGGCUAACUACGUGCCAGCAGCCGCGGUAAAACGUAGGUCACAAGCGUUGUCCGGAAUUACUGGGUGUAAAGGGAGCGCAGGCGGGAAGACAAGUUGGAAGUGAAAUCCAUGGGCUCAACCCAUGAACUGCUUUCAAAACUGUUUUUCUUGAGUAGUGCAGAGGUAGGCGGAAUUCCCGGUGUAGCGGUGGAAUGCGUAGAUAUCGGGAGGAACACCAGUGGCGAAGGCGGCCUACUGGGCACCAACUGACGCUGAGGCUCGAAAGUGUGGGUAGCAAACAGGAUUAGAUACCCUGGUAGUCCACACCGUAAACGAUGAUUACUAGGUGUUGGAGGAUUGACCCUUUCAGUGCCGCAGUUAACACAAUAAGUAAUCCACCUGGGG
rnacentral:rRNA from 1 species